rnacentral:lncRNA from 1 species
UAGGGUUGGGAAUAGGCCAGGCCAGGCCAGGCUUUGAUAGGCCUGAGCCUGGCCUACGAAAUUUUUUGCAGGCCUGAGCCUGGCCUAUGGCCUUUCAUAGGCCUAUUUUUUUGGCCUGGCCUGGCCUAUUUAAAAGCCUGGCCUGGCCUGAAAGCCUAUUUACAGGCCUACUUUUAAAUAGGUUUAAUAGGCCUCACUAAACAUUCCAUUUUAUCUACUUUUAAAUAGGUUUAAUAGGCCUCAAAGCCUAUUUGAGUGUAAGACUUGUCUAUCACUAUAAGGCCUUAAAAGCCUAUUUCACUAUAAUGC